AGCCUGAUCCAGCCAUGCCGCGUGAAGGAAUAAGGUCCUAUGGGUCGUAAACUUCUUUUGACGCAGAGCAAUAAGGGACACGCGUGUUCCGAUGAGAGUAUGCGUCGAAUAAGCAUCGGCUAACUCCGUGCCAGCAGCCGCGGUAAUACGGAGGAUGCGAGCGUUAUCCGGAUUUAUUGGGUUUAAAGGGUGCGUAGGCUGUUGGAUAAGUCAGCGGUGAAAUCACCACGCUUAACGUGUUGUGUGCCGUUGAAACUGUCCAGCUUGAAUGCGCUCGUCGUGAGAGGAAUGUGUGGUGUAGCGGUGAAAUGCAUAGAUAUCACACAGAACACCGAUUGCGAAGGCAUCUCACGAGGGCGCUAUUGACGCUGAUGCACGAAAGCGCGGGUAUCGAACAGGAUUAGAUACCCUGGUAGUCCGCGCUGUAAACGAUGAUGACUAACCGUUGGUCUGGUAUGGAUCAGUGGUCAAGCGAAAGCGUUAAGUCAUCCACCUGGGGAGUACGGCCGCAAGGCUGAAACUCAAAGGAAUUGACGGGGGCCCGCACAAGCGGAGGAACAUGUGGUUUAAUUCGAUGAUUCGC
rnacentral:rRNA from 1 species